CGACUAAUGGGGACAGCCGGAGCCAAGGGGCUCUCAGGGCAGCAGGAGGGCCAUGCAGGGCCACCAUCGUGUCAGCAGCACGUUGACCAUGGCUCACGACAUGGGGACGGGCAUUCUUGCCGCUUCCUCAGAAUAUUAACGACGGUCCCAGCAGAAUGCUGUAUGAAUAUUCAUAUGGAGCUCAAUCAAGCCUGGGCUGGCGGAUGGCACAGGGAGAGGCGCCGUGACAGGCUGGGCCCGGGUCCCAGUGGGCACACCUUGGCAGGGUGUGGCCGUAAGUCUCCGCCAGCUCCAGCCAGGAUCUGCCUCCCUCGGGAUGGGACAGGCCUGGGCCUGUUGUAUGGCCACAGGCAGAAGAGGCCGAUGAGUGACAUGACAUCACCACUUAGUGACUGCCCUCGUCCUGGGAGCCCAGAUGCUGGGGCGGGGCUCCUUCCUGAAAGACCCAGAGAAGUUCAUCUCAGGUUUAAUGGGGGCACUGCUGCCUCAGAAGCCAGGCAGUGGGUGGUGAGGUCCCUGUCCUCACUGGGGUCUGCAGCCGAGGAGGACUGGCCACCGAGGCCCAGGCCAGGCACAGGGAUGCUGGGUGGCCAUGGCCAGUCCUCCCGGGAGCCCCUAGCACCUUGGGCCUGCCCCCAGCUCUCACGCCGGGAGAGGUUUUUUCCCACUCCGGUGGCCGACGCCCUGGUGAAGGGAUUCGCAGAACGGGAGCACAUGGAUUUCCAGUUCUUCCCAGCGGGCGCACGUAGGCCGGCACCCUCUCUCUCGUCUUUGG
rnacentral:lncRNA from 1 species